AAAAAUCAAUUGUUUGAUUGACCUCUUUUGGACCAUCAUUGUUUUACUCUCGUCCUCAAUUUCGGACCCGUAACAAAAUGCAUUGGAAACUUGUCACUUUUUUGUCUUCUGGAUCGGACUCUAUUCCUUUUUUCAAAAGGAAUUCCUCCUGUAUUUCCUGCUACGCUCUGGUCAUUUCACCUCGAGCUAAAGUACGGGACAAAUCACGUUCCUUUUCACCUCAAUACCUCAGUACCAUUGACUGGUGGACCGAUGGUGGCCAGUCCAGCUGUGCUGCACGUCUUUCAUCCUGUUUUCCUUCUUUCACCCCAA